GAUGAAGAACGUAGCGAAAUGCGAUACGUAAUGUGAAUUGCAAAUUCAGUGAAUCAUCGAAUCUUUGAACGCACAUUGCGCCCCCUGGUAUUCCGGGGGGCAUGCCUGUCCGAGCGUCAUUGCAACCUUCAAGCGCGGCUUGUGUGUUGGGUCUCGUCCCCCGUGGACGGGCCCGAAAGGCAGUGGCGGCGUCCCGACAUGGUGCCCGAGCGUAUGGGAAUCCUCUUCCGCUCGAAUCGGCCCAUGCGGCGCUGGUCGUAACCAAAUUUUUUACCGGUUGACCUCGGAUCAGGUAGGGAUACCCGCUGAACUUAAGCAUAUCAAUAAGCGGAGGA
rnacentral:misc_RNA from 1 species